rnacentral:rRNA from 1 species
UACGUAGGUGGCAAGCGUUGUCCGGAAUUAUUGGGCGUAAAGCGCGCGCAGGCGGUCCUUUAAGUCUGAUGUGAAAGCCCACGGCUCAACCGUGGAGGGUCAUUGGAAACUGGGGGACUUGAGUGCAGAAGAGGAGAGUGGAAUUCCACGUGUAGCGGUGAAAUGCGUAGAGAUCGGGAAGAAUACCAGUGGCGAAGGCGUUCUGCUGGGCCGUUGCUGACACUGAGGCGCGACAGCGUGGGGAGCAAACAGG